UCAAACUUGGUCAUUUAGAGGAAGUAAAAGUCGUAACAAGGUUUUCGUAGGUGAACCUGCGGAAGGAUCAUUAGUGAACAAUGGGAGUCCCUCUUAACCAGAGAAGGCCCAGUCCACUAUUUCACAAACACUCGUGCAAUCGUCACUUUUACCUUUAACCCUUUGCAUUUGAACAAGUCGUUGGGUUUAAACAAUGAUAAUAAAAGAAAAACUUUCAGCAAUGGAUCUCUUGGCUCUCGCAUCGAUGAAGAACGCAGC
rnacentral:misc_RNA from 1 species